rnacentral:rRNA from 1 species
UACGGGGGGGGCAAGCGUUGUUCGGAAUUACUGGGCGUAAAGGGCUCGUAGGCGGCCAACUAAGUCGGAUGUGAAAUCCCCAGGCUUAACCUGGGAACUGCAUCCGAUACUGGAUGGCUUGAAUCCGGGAGAGGGAUGCAGAAUUCCAGGUGUAGCGGUGAAAUGCGUAGAUAUCAGGAGGAAUACCGGUGGCGAAAGCGACUCUCUGGACGGCAACUGACGCUGAGGCACGAAAGCGUGGGGAGCAAACAGG